ACUUAAUCUCUCUGGGUUUCAGUUUUGUCAUCUGUAAAAUGAGGGGGUUGGAUUUUGUGACCUGUGAGGUCCCUUCUAGCUCUUUAUCUAUGAUCCUAAAAAAUCAAAGUGCAGUGUUUGAAGGGAGUGAUCAUUAUUUGUUGGUCUAUGUUUACCCCUCUCACCACUCCCAAAUUCCCACCCCACCACAUGAGCUUCAGUUCCAUUUGGGCUCUGACCACAUUGCCUCCUCUUGAGUUAGCACAGAUCCUGAUUUGAAAAUGGACAAUGCGUUCACCCAGCCUGGUGUCAUGGAAACAGAGACGCCAGCAUUCACUCUGCCUUUUUGAAACAAAAAUCCCUGAAACUUCAUCACUCCAUUUUCAAGUGUUUGAUGGUGAACAGCACUGCAGAUUAUGGAGCCUGAUUUAUUCAGCAUUUUUACCUUAUCACAACUCUCUCUGUGGCCUGAAGCCCUCUGGGAACGCACUGUACAAAGAAGACAACCAGAAGAGGGAUUGCAUGCCGAUCUUACAAGGAAAACCAAAUAAGCUCAAUGAGACCCUUCCCUGCACAGAAAUGAACAGAUCCUGAAAUCCCCAGACAUGCAAAGAACAAGUACCAUUUCCUCUUUGAAGUCAUCUCUGCAAUCAGUAUCUGAACAAGUUCUCUCACUCAUGGAUUUUCCUAAAACAGCUUAUGUAAUCUAUAGGCAUAUGAAGAAAUGCUCUAAAUCACUUUUGAUUAGAGAAAUGCAAAUUAAAACAACUCACCUAUCAGAUUGGCUAAUAUGACCAAAAAAGGAAAAUGAUAGAUGUUGGAGAGGAUUCAGGAAAGUUGGGACACUGAUACUCUAUUGGUGGAGUUGUGAACUGAUCCAACCAUUCUGGAUAACAAUUUGGAACUAUGCCCAAAGGACAACCAAACUGUGCAUACCCUUUGAUACCACUACCAGGUCUGUGUCCCAAAGAGAUCACCAAAAAAGGAAAA
rnacentral:lncRNA from 1 species